UGACGCAGAUGGUAAAGCAUCUGCCUGCAAUGCAGAAGACCGGGGUUCAAUCCCUGGGUCAA
rnacentral:tRNA from 1 species